UUUGUUGCGAUGAUUAUGAAAAUAAUUCCUCGUUCUGAAUGCUAUUGCCAUGGCAUAAAAGACACGUUUACACCCAUAGAAUAUGAGCACCA